AUACGGAGGGUGCGAGCGUUAAUCGGAAUUACUGGGCGUAGAGCGUACGUAGGCGGUUUGCUAAGUCAGAUGUGAAAGCCCCGGGCUUAACCUGGGAACUGCAUUUGAUACUGGCAGACUAGAGUAUGAUAGAGGGGGGUAGAAUUCCUGGUGUAGCGGUGAAAUGCGUAGAUAUCAGGAGGAAUACCAGUGGCGAAGGCGGCCCCCUGGAUCAAUACUGACGCUGAGGUACGAAAGCGUGGGGAGCGAACAGGAUUAGAAACCCCAGUAGUCC
rnacentral:rRNA from 1 species